GAUUAACGCUGGCGGCGUGCAUAACACAUGCAAGUCGAACGAUGAAACUUUACUGACUUCUUCGGAAUGAUUUAAAGCGGAUUAGUGGCGAACGGGUGAGUAACGCGUGAGUAACCUGCCUUACACAAGGGGAUAGCCUCUGGAAACGGAGAAUAAUACCCUAUGAAACCAGACAAUCGCAUGAUAAUCUGGUCAAAAUGUUUAGUGGUGUAAGAUGGACUUGCGUCUGAUUAGCUAGUUGGUGAGAUAAAAGCUCACCAAGGCAACGAUCAGUAGCCGGCUUGAGAGAGUGUACGGCCACAUUGGGACUGAGACACGGCCCAGACUCCUACGGGAGGCAGCAGUGGGGAAUUUUGCACAAUGGGGGAAACCCUGAUGCAGCGACGCCGCGUGAUUUAGAAGGCCUUCGGGUUGUAAAAAUCUUUUGUAUAGGAAGAAAAUGACAGUACUAUACGAAUAAGGUCCGGCUAAUUACGUGC
rnacentral:rRNA from 1 species